rnacentral:tRNA from 1 species
UCCGGCGGUGGCCGAGGAGUUCCGGGGCCGCUACCGCUGUUUCGUGGUGGACGAGUACCAGGACGUCACCCCGCUGCAACAGCGGGUGCUCGAC